GGGCGUAAAGGGUGAGUAGGCGGUUGCGUAUGUCAGAUAGUAAAAGGACACAGGCUUAACUUGUGUUAGCAUUUGAAACUGUGCGACUUGAGUGCAGGAGAGGUAAGCGGAAUUCCUAGUGUAGCGGUGAAAUGCGUAGAUAUUAGGAGGAACACCGGUGGCGAAGGCGGCUUACUGGACUGUAACUGACGCUGAGUCACGAAAGCGUGGGUAGCAAACAGGAUUAGAUACCCUGGUAGUCCACGCUGUAAACGAUGAGUGCUAGGUGUUGGCCAGCGAUGGUCAGUGCCGAAGUUAACACAUUAAGCACUCCGCCUGGGGAGUACGGUCGCAAGACUAAAACUCAAAGGAAUUGACGGGGACCCGCACAAGCAGCGGAGCAUGUGGUUUAAUUCGAAGCAACGCGAAGAACCUUACCAAGGCUUGACAUCCCCUUGACCGGCACAGAGAUGUGCCCUCUCCUUCGGGAGCAAGGGUGACAGGUGGUGCAUGGUUGUCGUCAGCUCGUGUCGUGAGAUGUUGGGUUAAGUCCCGCAACGAGCGCAACCCUUAUUCUUAGUUGCCAGCAAGUUAAGUUGGGCACUCUAAGGAGACUGCCGAUGAUAAAUCGGAGGAAGGUGGGGAUGACGUCAAAUCAUCAUGCCCCUUAUGUCUUGGGCUACACACGUGCUACAAUGGUCGGUACAACGGGAAGCGAAAGAGUGAUCUGGAGCAAAUCUCAAUAAACCGACCCCAGUUCGGAUUGUAGGCUGCAACUC
rnacentral:rRNA from 1 species